rnacentral:tRNA from 1 species
GGGGGCGUAGCUCAGAUGGUAGAGUGCUCGCUUAGCAUGCGAGAGGUACGGGGAUCGCGAUACCCCACGUCUCCA